rnacentral:snRNA from 1 species
AGCUUUGAGCAGUGGCAGUAUCAUAGCAAAUGAGGUUUAUCCUAGGCACAACCAUGGCUAAUUGAAAACUUUUCCCAGUACCCUGCCAUGACAACUUGCAAGACGGUUGGCAUUGACAAUUUUUGAUUGUCUCUAUGUAUACUAAAUUAAAAAGA